AGGAUUCUUUCGUUUGGAGGCAUUCUGCAUUUCGCCGCCGCCUCACUCGUGGCCUGUUACUUCACGGAGAAGUCUUGCUUGGGGACUCUGGGUACCCGCUAGAGCCAUGGAUCAUGACUCCUGUGCCUGGUCACCCAAAUCGCCUCACGGCAGAGGGGCGCUAUAAUGAGGCACACGCAUCAAUGCGAAAUGCCGUUGAGCGGUGCAUAGGAGUCGUCAAGAGCCGCUUCCGAUGCCUGCAGAGCAGGCGUGCCUCUGCCAGACGACCCAGAUGACGACG